rnacentral:misc_RNA from 1 species
GAUGAAGAACGCAGCGAAAUGCGAUAAGUGAUGUGAAUUGCAGAAUUCAGUGAAUCAUCGAAUCUUUGAACGCACAUUGCGCCCGCCAGCCAUUCUGGCGGGCAUGCCUGUCCGAGCGUCAUUUCAACCAUCAAGCCCCGUGCUUGUGUUGGGGAGCUGCGGGCCCUCCGGGGCGCGCAGGCCCUGAAAUGCAGUGGCGGGCUCGCUGACACACCGAGCGUAGUAGCAUAAUUCUCGCUCUGGGCGUGCUGCGGGUACCGGCCGUGAAACGACCACUCGAGAGAGAGGACACCCAAAGGUUGACCUCGGAUCAGGUAGGAAUACCCGCUGAACUUAAGCAUAUCAAUAAGCGGAGGA